AUUGAACGCUGGCGGCAGGCCUAACACAUGCAAGUCGAACGAGUGGCGGACGGGUGAGUAAUGUCUGGGAAACUGCCUGAUGGAGGGGUAUAACUACUGGAAACGGUAGCUAAUCCCGCAUACCAUCAGAUGUGUCCAUAUGGGCUGAGCGUGUUGGUGGGGUAACGGCUGACCAGGGCGACGAUCCCUAGCUGGUCUGGGAGGAUGACCAGCCACACUGGAACUGAGACACGGCCCAGACGCCUACGUGAGGCAGCAGUGGGGAAUAUUGCACAAUGGGCGCAAGCCCGAUGCAGCCAUGCCGAGUGUAUGAAGAAGGCCUUCGGGUUGUAAAGUACUUUCAGCAGGGAGGCGGUACCCGCAGAAGAAGCACCGGCUAACUCCGUGCCAGCAGCCGCGGUAAUAC
rnacentral:rRNA from 1 species